AGUGAACGCUGGCGGUAGGCCUAACACAUGCAAGUCGAACGGCAGCACAGUAAGAGCUUGCUCUUACGGGUGGCGAGUGGCGGACGGGUGAGGAAUACAUCGGAAUCUACUUUUUCGUGGGGGAUAACGUAGGGAAACUUACGCUAAUACCGCAUACGACCUACGGGUGAAAGCAGGGGAUCUUCGGACCUUGCGCGAUUGAAUGAGCCGAUGUCGGAUUAGCUAGUUGGCGGGGUAAAGGCCCACCAAGGCGACGAUCCGUAGCUGGUCUGAGAGGAUGAUCAGCCACACUGGAACUGAGACACGGUCCAGACUCCUACGGGAGGCAGCAGUGGGGAAUAUUGGACAAUGGGCGCAAGCCUGAUCCAGCCAUACCGCGUGGGUGAAGAAGGCCUUCGGGUCGUAAAGCCCUGUUGUUGGGAAAGAAAAGCAGCAGGUUAAUACCCCGCUGUUCUGACGGUACCCAAAGAAUAAGCACCGGCUAACUUCGUG
rnacentral:rRNA from 1 species